rnacentral:rRNA from 1 species
CCUACGGGCGGCAGCAGUGGGGAAUAUUGGGCAAUGGACGCAAGUCUGACCCAGCAACGCCGCGUGAAGGAAGAAGGCUUUCGGGUUGUAAACUUCUUUUAAGGGGGAAGAGCAGAAGACGGUACCCCUUGAAUAAGCCACGGCUAACUACGUGCCAGCCGCCGCGGUAAUACUGAGGUGGCAAGCGUUGUCCGGAUUUACUGGGUGUAAAGGGAGUGCAGCCGGGUAGGCAAGUCAGAUGUGAAAUCCGCGGUCUCAACUGCGGAACUGAAUGUGAAACUGCUUCCCUUGAGUAUCGGAGAGGUAAUCGGAAUUCCUAGGGUAGCGGUGAAAUGCGUAGAUAUUAGGAAGAACACCAGUGGCGAAGGCGGAUUACUGGACGACAACUGACGGUGAGGCGCGAAAGCGUGGGGAGCAAACAGGAUUAGAUACCCCAGUAGUC